UCUAUCUACAAUGUUCAAUCCCAACUUUUCUGAGUCCUAGUACGCAAGGAAUGGUCUCAGCGAUGCUCGACUAUAUUGGCCCCAUCGACGUAAUCAACUUCUGGCUGCUGCAAAGAAGGAGAGACAAAAGGUUUAGGGAUUAAUAAGGU
rnacentral:rRNA from 1 species